rnacentral:rRNA from 1 species
UGGAAGUAAAAAAUCGUAACAAGGUCUCCGUUGGUGAACCAGCGGAGGGAUCAUUACCGAGUUUUCAACUCCCUAACCCUUCUGUGAACCUACCUAUCGUUGCUUCGGCGGACUCGCCCCAGCCCGGACGCGGACUGGACCAGCGGCCCGCCGGGGACCUCAAACUCUUGUAUUCCAGCAUCUUCUGAAUACGCCGCAAGGCAAAACAAAUGAAUCAAAACUUUCAACAACGGAUCUCUUGGCUCUGGCAUCGAUGAAGAACGCAGCGAAACGCGAUAAGUAAUGUGAAUUGCAGAAUCCAGUGAAUCAUCGAAUCUUUGAACGCACAUUGCGCCCGCCAGCAUUCUGGCGGGCAUGCCUGUUCGAGCGUCAUUUCAACCCUCGACCUCCCCUUGGGGGGGUCGGCGUUGGGGACCGGCAGCACACCGCCGGCCCUGAAAUGGAGUGGCGGCCCGUCCGCGGCGACCUCUGCGCAGUAAUACAGCUCGCACCGGAACCCCGACGCGGCCACGCCGUAAAACACCCAACUUCUGAACGUUGACCUCGAAUCAGGUAGGACUACCCGCUGAACUUAAGCAUAUCAAUAAG